GAUCCUGGCUCAGGACGAACGCUGGCGGCGUGCCUAACACAUGCAAGUCGAACGGAGUCGGCCCCGCAAGGGACUGACUUAGUGGCGAACGGGUGAGUAACGCGUGAGCAACCUGCCUUUCAGUGGGGGACAACAGUUGGAAACGACUGCUAAUACCGCAUAAAGCAUUUUGACCGCAUGGUCGAGAUGCCAAAGAUUUAUUGCUGAAAGAUGGGCUCGCGUCUGAUUAGAUAGUUGGUG
rnacentral:rRNA from 1 species